rnacentral:rRNA from 1 species
CCAUCUUCUAUUUAAGACUGACGACGCUCUUGAGGCCUUAUCACCAGCCUGGCGCCUUAUCACAGAGUAUCAUCACAACUUUAACUAAUGGAAAAUCUCUAGUUAAGUCUGACAACAGCUAUGAUAGCCUAUCAUAGGGCUAAUGACUUAUCACAUAUGUCGUCAGCCACACUUCUUUUUAGAUUCCUCCAGAUUUCAACUUCUUUGCUUCCAUUCUUGUUGGCUCUCUAUCCCAUCAUCUUAAACUAUAAAAUCAGACAUAAAUAAAUCAAAAACAAUAAAAAUUGCUUAAGACUUCGCAAUUAUUCUUGGUUAAAGGUCCAAAAUAUGUUACCAAUUGGUCAAACAUCAGCUCCCUAUUUAACCCAUCAUGAAACAAGGACCAAGGACUCUAACAUAUGUGCGAGUCAACGGGCGAGUAAACCCGUAAGGUGUAUGGAAGAUGAUUGUUGGGAUCCCUCUGAGGGGUGCACUACUGACCAACCAUUAUCUUUUUCAAAGAUUUUGAGUGUGAGCAUACCUGUUGGGACCUAAAAGAUAGUGAACUAUGCUUGAGUAGGGAAAAGUCAGAGGAAACACUGCUGGAGGUCUACAACAAUACUGACAUGCAAAUCAUUCAUCUAACUUAGGUACAGGUGCGAAAGACUAAUCGAACCGUUUAGUAGCUAGUUCCCUCCAAAGUUUUCCUCAGGAUAGCUAGAGCUCACAUGUGAGUUCUAUCAUUUUAAGUGAAUGAUUAGAGGCCUUAGGGGCACAACGCCCUCGACCCAUUCUCAAACUUUAAAUAGGUAGGACAGCAUGACUACUUUGUUGAGCCACUCCUUGGAAUCAAGAGCUCCAAGUGGGCUAUUUUUGCUAAGAUGAACUGGCGAUACUAGAUGAAUUACUAACUGAGUUAGGAUGCCAAACUGCGCGCUAACCUAGAUCCUACAAAGGGUAUUGGUCGAUUAAGAUAGCAAGAUGGUUAUCAUGGAAGUCAAAAUCCACUAAGGAGUGUGUAACAACUCUCCUUUUGAAACAAUUAGCCUUGAAAAUAGAUGGCGCUUAAGCGCGUGACCUACACCCAAUCGUCGGGGCAUGUACAAGGCCCCGAUGAGAAGGAGGGCGUGGAGGUCGCUGUAAAACCUUGGGUGCAAGACCAGGUGGAGAGGCCAUCAGUAUAGAUCUUAGUGGUAGUAAAAAAUAUUCAAAUGAGAACUUUGAAGGCCAAAGAAAGGAAAGGUUCUAUUUGAUCAGCACUUGCACAUGGGUUAGUCAAACCUAAGUAUUGGGGGAACCCCACCAAAUAGCUUAUUUCAUACGUACUCCAAAAAAGAAUCGAGUUAAAAUUCCUGAAUUGUGACGUGGUGGUCAAUGAAAAUGUUAGAAAGUGCGGAGACAUUGGGGAAAGCUUCGGGAAGAGUUAUCUUUUCUAUUUAACAACCUGCCCACCCUGGAAUCAGCUCAAAUAGAGGUAAGAUCCAUCAGCUGGAAGAGCACUGCACGUCGUGUGGUAUCUAGUACGCUCCCAGCAGCCCUUGAAAAUAUUGAGGACCAAAUUCCAUCCAUGCCAGAUUGUACUUAUAACGAUAUUAGGUCUCCAAGGUGAACAAUCUCUGGUCAAUGGAACAAUAUAGGCAAGGAAAGUCGGUAAAAUAGAUCCGAAACUUCAGGAAAAGGAUUAGUUCUUAGGGCUGGUCAGAGGAGUCCUAGUCCCAAACCCAUCGGUUUGGUUAUCAGUGUAUUGCUCGAGCUGCUCCCACAAUGAGAGUGGGUCAACGCGUGUUGGCUGGGUGACGUAUAGGGAAUGGUUACUUCGAGUGCCUUUAUUGUGCAUCGAACAACUAACUCAAAAUUGGUAUGGAAAAGGGGAAUCUGACUAUUUAAUUAAAACAAAACAUUAUGAUGGUCCCAAUGGAUGUUCACACAAUGUGAUUUCUACCCAAUGCUCUGAAUAUCAAAGUGAAGAAAUUCAACCAAGUGUGGGUAAACUACGAGAGUAACUAUGAAGCUCUUAAGAUAGCCAAAUGCCUCAUCAUCUAAUUAGAAAUGUACAUGAUUGGAUUAAUGAGAUUUCCACUGUGCCUAUCUAUUAUCUAGCGAAACCACAACCAAGGGAAUGAGCUUAGCAGAAUUAGCCGGAAAAGACCCUGUUGAGCUUGACUCUAGUCUGACUUUGUGAAAGGACAUGACAGGUGUAGUAUAAGUGGGAGACGAAAGGAAAAAGUGAAAUACCACUACUUUUAACAUUAUUUUGUGAAUUAAAAGUAGGGCAUUACGCUUCUUUUCGGACCCAAGGCUCUCUCUGUGAGCCGAUCCGGGUGGAAGAAAUUGUCAGGUGAGGAGUUUAGAUGGGGUGGCACAUCUUUUAAAAGAUAAAAUAGGUGUCCUAAGAUGAGCUCAAUGAGAACAUAAAUUUUGUGUGGAAUAGAACGGUAAAAGCUUAUUUGUUUCUGAUUUCCAAUACGAAUAUGAAUGGUAAAAGCGUGGCGUAAAGAUCCUUUAGACCUUUGGAAUUCUAGGCUAGAGAUGUCAGUAAAGUUACCAUAGGGAAUACUGGCUUGUGGCAGCCAAGCGUUCAAAGCGAUGUUGCUUUUAAUCCUUUGAUGUCGGCUUUUCCUAUCAUUAUGAAGCAGAAUUCACCGAGUGUUGGAUUGUUCUCCCACCAAUAGGGAACAUGAGCUAAGUUUAGAAUGUUAUGAGAUAGGUUAGUUUUACCCUACCAAUGAUAGUUUCACAAUAUUAAUUCAACCUAGUAUGAUAUAAACUGUUGAUUCACACAAUUGGUCAUCCCGCUUGGUUGAAAAGCCAGUGGCACGACGCUACAGUAUGCUGGAUUAUAACGGAAUGCCUCUAAGUCAAAAUCUAGGCUAGAAGCAAUGGAUGCACCCGCCGUUCACUUACCAACCUACAUUAGGGACCUCAUUCCGUCCCGAAAGGGUACAUGUUGUUGGCUAAACCACCAUGGCAGAAGGGUUGCGGUGGCCGCCUUAAACUAUAAUUUCAAUCGAGCGGUGAGUAGAAUUCUUUGCACAUGAUUUAAAUAUGUGAUAACGUAUUGUAAGUGACAGAGUAGCCUUGCUACCAUAACCCACUAAGAUUAAGCUAU